rnacentral:lncRNA from 1 species
UGGUCUAAUUCCAAGGGAGAAGGCGAUGGCUUGACUGGUAUAUCGUUGGAGCCGGACAUCCCUCCCUCCCUAGUUCCAAAUGCUCCACCAUCGAGUCCCAUUUUUGAAAAGGGAGGCAUGGUGGGAUACCGAAACAAACUGCUACGCGCUGCAUCUGAAAAUCGCGCUUCUGUCAAGUUGUUAUCGUACAAGUUUGAAUAGCUAGGGUUAAACGUCAUCCCAGCAUGCGACAGUAUUGUGUCCAGGUCAUGGUUCGGUUUCUUUACGUCGUCACCGAGCUCACUACCAACCUUCGAGGUGGGUCGAGAUUGUAAACCUAGUAGCCUCUUGGACACUGAAUGGAUGUUGUCUUUCAAAGAUGGGUUUGCCGCAGGAGCAUGAACUGGAAGAGAUUCACCACCAUACAAGCCCGACUGAUCCGAUUCUAAUUUCCCAAGACGUGAGACCGAAUAGGCAAGAGGUCUCUCGUCGUUGGCCAAGCUUUUCCGUUUCAAGCGCUCGCGAUAAAUGCAGAAUGCAAU